CUUGUACUCCCUCCGUCCGGAAAUACUUGUCGUUGAAAUAGAUGUAUCUAGAUGUAUUUUAGUUCUAGAUACAUCCAAUUUAAUGACAAGUAUUUCCGGACGGAGGGAGUACAAA
rfam:Triticum aestivum genome assembly, contig: Triticum_aestivum_CS42_TGACv1_scaffold_513984_6BS